GAUGAACGCUGGCUACAGGCUUAACACAUGCAAGUCGAGGGGAAACGACGUGGCAGCUUGCUUCCCCGGGCGUCGACCGGCGUACGGGCGAGUAACUCGUACCCAACCUGCCUCUCACUGAGGGGUAACUCGUCGAAAGUCGGCCUAAUUCCUCCUGCCAUCUACUGCUUGCUUCCUACGACUUUUAAGAAUUUCAUCGUUCAGAGAUGGGGAUGCGUCUGAUGAGCUUGUUGGCGGGGUAACGGCCCACCAAGGCGACGAUCAGUAGGGGUUUUGAGAGGAAGGUCCCCGAGAUUGGAACUGAGCCCCGGUCCAAACUCGUAGGAGCGGCAGCGGUGAGGAAGAUUGGGCAAUGAGCGAGAGCCUGAACCGGCGAAGUAGCGUGCAGGAUGACGGGACUAUGAGUUGUAAACUGCUUUGAUGCGGGGGUAAAGUGAGGGAAGUGUCAUUCAUUGAAGGUACCGCAUGAAUAAGGACCGGCUAAUUACGUG
rnacentral:rRNA from 1 species